AUUAAAAGAGUGCGUAAUAGCUCACUGGUCGAGAGACCCUGCGCCGAAGAUUACCGGGGCUAAAGUACGAAACCGAAGCUGUGGCUACGACGUAAGUCGUGGGGUAGGGGAGCGUUCUGUGAGGGCUGAAGUCGUUCUGUAAGGAACGGUGGACUUCACAGAAGUGAGAAUGUUGGUAUGAGUAGCGAAAAGAAUGGUGAGAAUCCAUUCCACCGAAAGCAUAAGGAUUCCUGGGCAACGAUCGUCGUCCCAGGGUAAGUCGGGACCUAAUCCGAGGCAUGGAGCGUAGGAGAUGGACAACUGGCAGAUAUUCCAGUACCGGUAAUGAUUGUUUGAGCGAUGGAGUGACACAGGAGGGCAGGCAGGCAGGAGAUUGGUUGUUCCUGUACAAGCGUGUAGGAUGGGACGUAGGCAAAUCCGCGUCCUGUGAGUCUGAGGCGUGAUGUGGAGGUUCCGGAAACGGAACCGAAGCUGCUGACCCCACACUGUCGAGAAAAGCUUCUAGUUAGAGAAUUGCCGCCCGUACCGUAAACCGACACAGGUAUGCGGGGAGAGAAUCCUAAGGUGCGCGGGAGAACCCUCGUUAAGGAACUCGGCAAAAUGUACCCGUAACUUCGGGAUAAGGGUAGCCGCUGUUGUGAAGUCUGCACAGACGGAGCAUGAGGCGGUCGCAGAGAAGAGGCCCAAGCGACUGUUUACCACAAACACAGGUGCCUGCUAAAGAGAAAUCUGACGUAUAGGUGCUGACACCUGCCCAGUGCCGGAAGGUUAAGGAAGGAUGUCCGGAGCAAUCCAAAGCAUUCGACCGAAGCCCCGGUGAACGGCGGCCGUAACUAUAACGGUCCUAAGGUAGCGAAAUUCCUUGUCGGGUAAGUUCCGACCCGCACGAAAGGUGUAACGAUUUGGGCACUGUCUCAACGAGGGACCCGGUGAAAUUGAAGUACCUGUGAAGAUGCAGGUUACCCGCGACUGGACAGAAAGACCCCAUGGAGCUUUACUGUAACCUGACAUUGGGUUCUGAUACAUCACGUACAGGAUAGGUGGGAGGCAUGGAAGCGAGGACGCUAGUCUUCGUGGAGCCGCCGUUGGGAUACCACCCUUGAUGUAUCGGAAUUCUAACCGUAGGAGUAACGAAACUCGGGACAGUGUCAGGCGGGCAGUUUGACUGGGGCGGUCGCCUCCCAAAGAGUAACGGAGGCGCCCAAAGGUUCCCUCAGCGCGGCCGGAAAUCGCGCGAAGAGUGUAAAGGCAGAAGGGAGCUUGACUGAGAGCCAAACACGGCGAUCAGGUACGAAAGUAGGGCUUAGUGAUCCGGUGGCAUCCAAGUGGAAGGGCCAUCGCUCAACGGAUAAAAGCUACCCUGGGGAUAACAGGCUAAUCUCUCCCAAGAGUCCAUAUCGACAGAUCGGAAGAGCACACGUCUGAACUCCAGUCA
rnacentral:rRNA from 1 species